ACAUGUCGGGGUUCGUAUAACCUUAGAGUGGGAGU
rnacentral:sRNA from 1 species